CCACCUUUGAAGAAGACAUUGCCCAGUAAAUUUACCUCUCGAAGGGCAUCUGAUGCAAUGGUAAUGAGCAAGGUAAUGAACAUGAAAAGAGUCUAGGUCAAAUGGUGCCUGGGCAGAGACUUUUUCUCUCCCUUAGGAUUUUUCACUUUAGUUGUUAUUCAAACUUAGCUGAUGCAAAGACUAUACCACUUUUGGUUUGUACUGGGGGGAAGGGUAAAAAAAAAGGGAGUAUUUUGGUUGUAGGAGGGAACUGCUAAGAGUCAGAAGGAAUCACAUUCUCAUUCCUCUGGUCGGGCAGCUGGGCUCAGAGCUGGCUGGUGCUGACUCAGAGACCAGGACGUGUGGAGGGGGUGAGGCCAUCAACUUAUGGCCCAACGUGCCACCAGGCAAAGGCACGUGGGUGGGCCACCUGUUCCCAAACCUGCUUCCCAGUGAUCAUGCAUACUGUUCUCACCCCCGCAGUGUCCCACCUUCUCAGUACUGCUUUGCAGAGCUGCCUGGCGGUCUUCAUAGCCUGGUUUCACUUCUGAAAACAUGUGUGAAGAAGGAAACAUACACAGGAAUCUGUUCCACAACAUACACAGACACACACACACACUCACUCACACACACACAAUGGCACACACAUGCCACACACACACAUGCUCAUACACACAGACACAGAGACAUACAUAUUCUCUCUCUCUCUCUCUCUCUCUCUCUCUCUCUCUCUCUCUCUCUCUCUCUCUCUGUGUGUGUGUGUGUGUAUGGGGAGGGGGGGUCUGUGCCUGUGCCUGUGUCUGUGUAUGUCUCUGGCUACCUAAUCACCCUGCCUCUUCAAAGGUUCUUGUUAUGAAAACUGACAUCCUAGGCUGUCAGCUUCAUUCACGUUCUGCCUAGAAAGGUUUCCACACUUCAUGACCCAUUUGCUUCAGGACUGCGAAGACACCCCACAUCUGGCAGGUGUGAGAAGGAGGCCAUGGCUGAUUAACGAGAUGGGCUCAAACAGGAUUAAAAAUGAAAAUUGGCUUUUCAGACUCUAAACCUGCAAAUGCACAGGAUGUAAAGACGAAUGGGCAGCGAGCCCCCUGAGCCACCCCUGUGGAAACAGCAAGUGUGCUGUUGAUUGUGCAUCGAUUGUCAUGCAUCGAUUGGCUCAAGCCCUCAGCAGACCUCUUCUCGGUGGCACAGACAGAGGACAAGAUUGCCCAGCAAGAGGGCAAAGGCCUCGCCAAUGUCAUGAGGUCCGGAAAAGUUCAAGAUGGAAAACCACAUGUCCUUUACAAAUAUGCGUUUCUCCUUUGUGUUCACUUUCAAACACUUAUUAAAAGGGCACUGACAGCGCAUUAGAAGUCAAUCAACAUCCAUUUCCAUCUCUGAGGGUCUGUGACUCCACGUGAACACACGCUAGCCCUUUUCCCCUCCCUCAGUCAGCGGCCUGGGUGGCUCUCUGUUACUAAGGAAGACUAUUGCACUUAUUUCAAGGAGAUUUUAAACAGGGGGAAAUACAAUGCUUUGAUUUGUUUUAAAUUCAUCGAGCUACUGGAGAGAACUGCUUUGCCUCUACAGGUCUCAAAGCUGUGGUCUUGCCUCUAGGAGGCAAGCCCUAGGUCAAGCCCUAGGAGGGACCUUGCUUUUAUUCCACAGCCCCAAGCAAAUGAGAAUACACUACACUAUACAACAUAGAAACAGCAGCCUGGCCACCCAAUCAAGCGCUUCCCCACCCCUCAGUCACACCGUUAUCCACAUCUGUGCUUCUUACUACCUUUGAAGGGAUGAAAGAUGGAUCAGGAAACAAGACCUUGGUACCACACUAUGCAAAAACAAACCCACCUCCCAAAAUAUACAAAAAUAUCUCCUUUUUGAAUUUUAUACAAUUAAGCAAGAUUUAAUGCCAGUCUACUUGGUUUACUGCCAGGAGAGGUGUUAACUCUCAGAGGGUGAGGGAGACUGGAGCAAGGCACCAGGUAAUUAACACUUCCGUGGAGGUGGACAGAAGCGUGCUCCUGGGCUGGGGGAAAAAAGUCCAUUUUCUUCCAAAACUGUGACUUGGAGGUGACACUUCAAAUUAUCAACAGUAAUUUGGGGGAUGAGAAUGUGAUUCUUUAGUUAUUUUAAUCAGCAGGGUGUACCGAACACGGGUACAGAACUCUCUGCAAGAGAUUUUUUUAGAAAAAUAACCAGUAAUUGCGCAUCUUCAAGACAUCAGUCUAGGAGAAUUAGACAAUACAGAGUAUGCUGAAAGGAUACAGAUAAAGACAUAGCAGCGAUGUACAUUGGUAUUUUGUGUAACUUACAUGUUACCUAUAUGCAUGUAUGUAUGUAUGUAUGUACCUAAUGUGUAUAUAUGAUGUAAAUGUGGCUAAUAAGACCACUUUUGAAAUAUUGGCUGAAAAUUUUAGAGAUAAUUAUAAGUCUUUUAAUUUCUUUGGCACAUUCAUCGUACACAGUGGUGAGUUUCAUAACCCUGUGCUAUCCAUGUAUACCUAAUCCCCCUUUCCUUUCCCUUCCCCUCCCCACUCUUUCUUUCUGUUACUCCAGACAUUAUCUCGCCUACUUUUUUGUAUAUAUGCUCACACACACGAGUGUGUGCCUGUGAUUUUUCUUUUUUGGUGGCUGGAGAGAUAUCUCAAUGGUUAAAAGUACAUACUGCCCAUGCAGGAGGCCUGAGCUCAGUUCCUAGCAGGUAACUCAGAAUGGAUACCCUCUUCUGAGCUCUGUAGGCACCUGAACUCACUUGCUCUCUCACACACACACAUAGACACACACACACACACACACACACACAGAGAGAGAGAGAGAGAGAGAGAGAGAGAGAGAGAGAGAGAGAGAGAGUUUAAUUUUCAAUAAAAAAGAAUUUUAUGUAUCUAGAUAAAAUCUGGAUCAACUGCCAGGCAGUGGUGGCAUCUGUCUUUAAUCCCAGCACUUGGGAGGCAGAGGCAGGCAGAUUUCUGAGUUCAAGGCCAGCCUGGUCUACAGAGUGAGUUCUAGAACAGUCAGAGCUACACAGAGAAACCCUGUUUCGAAAAAUAAAAAAAAAAAAAUCUAGAUCAACUAAAAACAUGUGAUAUUUGUCUCUCUGAGUCUGACUCAUUUGACUAUAUUUUAUGAUCUCUGUUGUAUUUAUUUUCCUGAUCACAACAUAAUCUUAUCCUUUACAGAUUAAUAAAAUUCUGUUGCUUAUAUAGAGCACGUUUUGUACCCACUUAUUUCUAGACAGACACUUAGACCAAUUCCAGUACUUGCAACAAACAUGAAUGAGCAAGUAAUUCGGAUCAGAGAACAUGGCAGACAUGGGUUAACAGCAGAGAGAAGAAAAACAUGCACGUUCUGUGGGGAGUAGCAAGAAGAUCUGACACCCGAAGAUCAUUUAAGACACCCAUGGUUUCAUAGACCAGGAACUAUGAAUAAAACUAUAACAAAAUAAUUAGGAAAAAUCAAUAGCAUCGUCAAAACUCAGAAAGAGCAUGCACUGCGGGGUAGAGUAAGAAUUAGCUAAGUCAAUUGUGACAAUAAAACAAUAUUAUCUAAGACAAAGAUCAAGACACAAAACUAUCAGCAGCAUGUUGUCGACUUAUCACAGAACCAGACAAACAACUACAGAGAUGAACUGCUAGAAGAAAAGUGGAAGGAAGAAUAAAGCACAGAGCCAUCUGUCAUUUCUGACUUUCCUCCUUGACUGAUAUUUUCUACAUGUGUGACCUUGAUGACUUUUAAUUUGCUUUAUUCCUUCCCAUGGGUGUGUAUUGUGUUGAGUGAAUUUCUUCUUCUUCUUCUUCUUCUUCUUCUUCUUCUUCUUCUUCUUCUU
rnacentral:lncRNA from 1 species